GAACAUGAGUUGUGUUAGUUUUGCAAAAGCUAAAGAGAAUUAGUUUUAUAAUUCCAUGUUUU
rnacentral:tRNA from 1 species